UACGUAGGGGGCGAGCGUUAUCCGGAAUUAUUGGGCGUAAAGAGUACGUAGGUGGCUUAAUAAGCGCAAGGUGAAAGCCCGGGGCUUAACUCCGGCAAGCCUUGUGAACUGUUAGGCUUGAGUGCAGGAGGGGAAAGUGGAAUUCCUAGUGUAGCGGUGAAAUGCGCAGAUAUUAGGAGGAACACCGGUGGCGAAGGCGACUUUCUGGACUGUAACUGACACUGAGGUACGAAAGCGUGGGUAGC
rnacentral:rRNA from 1 species